AUGCGAUGUGCCUGUGGUCUAGAACUUAUUGCUUUGGACAAAAUGGUAAGCUACUAUCCCUUUAAUUUGUUUCCUCGGCACUCAUCGUCAAAUCUUGAGUUAUAUUCUUAUGAGUUUUGCAUCACAGGGUCAACUUGUUUGUUGUUGUGGUGCAGUUUAAUGAGGAAAAGUGUUUUCCAUCAACUUCUAAGAGAAGCUCUUCUCGUAGAGAAUGCUUUUCCUGGCUAGUCAAGCUCUGUGUCCUCUUUCUUCGAAGAAAGAAAGUUGAAGUGCUUUUAUGGGUGA
rnacentral:lncRNA from 1 species